rnacentral:rRNA from 1 species
UACGUAGGGUGCAAGCGUUAAUCGGAAUUACUGGGCGUAAAGCGUGCGCAGGCGGUUAUGUAAGACAGUUGUGAAAUCCCCGGGCUCAACCUGGGAAUUGCAUCUGUGACUGCAUAGCUAGAGUACGGUAGAGGGGGAUGGAAUUCCGCGUGUAGCAGUGAAAUGCGUAGAUAUGCGGAGGAACACCGAUGGCGAAGGCAAUCCCCUGGACCUGUACUGACGCUCAUGCACGAAAGCAUGGGGAGCGAACAGG